CCUACGGGUGGCAGCAGUGGGGAAUAUUGCACAAUGGGGGAAACCCUGAUGCAGCAACGCCGCGUGAAGGAAGACGGUUUUCGGAUUGUAAACUUCUGUUCUUAGUGAAGAAUAAUGACGGUAGCUAAGGAGCAAGCCACGGCUAACUACGUCCCAGCAGCCGCGGUAAUACGUAGGGGGCAAGGGUUGUCCGGUUUUACGGGGUGUAAAGGGAGCGCAGGCGGGAAGCCAAGUCAGCUGUGAAAGCUACGGGCUUAACUUGUAGACUGCAGUUGAAACGGGUUUUCUUGAGUGAAGUAGGGGUUGGCGGAAUUCCGGGUGUGGCGGUGAAAGGGGUGGAUAUUCGGAGGAACACCGGUGGCGAAGGCGGCCAACUGGGCUUUAACUGACGCUGAGGCUCGAAAGUGUGGGGAGCAAACAGGAUUAGAUACCCCAGUAGU
rnacentral:rRNA from 1 species